CGUAGGGUGCGAGCGUUAAUCGGAAUUACUGGGCGUAAAGCGUGCGCAGGCGGUUUUGUAAGUCAGAUGUGAAAUCCCCGAGCUCAACUUGGGAACUGCGUUUGAAACUACAAGACUAGAAUAUGUCAGAGGGGGGUAGAAUUCCACGUGUAGCAGUGAAAUGCGUAGAGAUGUGGAGGAAUACCAAUGGCGAAGGCAGCCCCCCUGGGAUAAUAUUGACGCUCAUGCACGAAAGCGUGGGGAGCAAACAGGAUUAGAUACCCUGGUAGUCCACGCCCUAAACGAUGUCUACUAGUUGUUGGUGGAGUAAAAUCCAUGAGUAACGCAGCUAACGCGUGAAGUAGACCGCCUGGGGAGUACGGUCGCAAGAUUA
rnacentral:rRNA from 1 species